GGCUGCGGCUCCAGUCGGGGGGGCUCGCGCUCGGCGCCCGCGAAGUCGGCCUCGCGCCGCCUCACCGGUGACAGGCUAAUGAACGCGACUCUGCGCGGCUCCGCCAUCCCCACUGUUGUGGCCCUCGGCGCUCGCUCGAGCCGGCUCUCGCCUCGACGCCGUACGGCGUGCCUGCCCGCCUUUCCUUCCGCUCUCCGUCGCUUUUCUUCCCUCCAGCACCCUCAGCCGUCUCCGCGGACGCCACCGUGAGUGCGGACCGGGUCCCCGUCCCCGCUACUACGUUCUGAUGGGCUCCACCGCCAUCGCCAGGGUCGCCGCAGCCGCCAUGUUGGGUCCCCCACAUAAAUAGAAGCAGGCCGCUGAGCGGGCGCAUGCGCACACCGGAGACGCUCGCGUCCACAGUCGUGGCUGUUGCUCAGUUUUCCUCCCAACAGUCUGGAGUCCAGACAGCCCGCCGGAAGUGACGUCACAGACAGCCCUGUCUCCGUGGCAACGCAGACGCUAUCUAUGCUUUGGCUCAGAAGGAGGGGUUUGGGGUUCCCGGAGUAAUUUCCUCUUCUCGUCCGGAAACCGAGGCGCGCUCGCGGAUCCCUCAGGAUUGAUGUUUUAUUCAUGGAACUGGAGUUAUGAGCCCCUUGUGAGCUAUCUGAUGUGGAUGCUGGGAUCCAAUCAAGUUCUCUCAAAGAGCAGCCAGCCUGAUCUAUAGAUGGAGUUCCAGGACAGCUUACAUAGUGAGACCUUGUCUCAGAAAAAACUGCCUUACUGCUUGGAGGUCAAGAGCAAUGGCAACACCCCCAUCAUACGUCUCUCGUGCUAAUUUCAAACACAGCCCUGAAGAGGGACGUCACUGCACACCAGCACACACACAGCAAUGGCACGGGAUUCUUUCUCUUUUCAUGAUUAUCUUUAAAUCAUAAAGGACAUGCUGUUCUCUAAGUCUGUAA